rnacentral:lncRNA from 1 species
CCGGCCAUUAAGGCUUUAUAAAUAAUAAAAAAAUUAAAAACUAAAAGCAUGCAUCUAAAAGACUAAAUUGAAUAUUUUGUCUUACCCUUUUGCUCCAAUGAAAAUCAAUCAAGGGGAAUAGAGCUUAAGAACGGAACUUGUAUACAUGGAUACAACUACUGAACCGAUCGACAAAUGAAAGCAAAGCAAGCACUAAAGAAAAUGGGGGAUACAACCGCAGGAAAGGCUUAGUGGGAUACAUGAUAGACUAUGGCAUCGUCAAAUACACUAAUCUCUUUGUUGGGACGAUAAUUAGCACUGUACCAUAACAUUUGUGACCUGCGGCAUUGCCAUUAUUAGACACUUUGUCAGAUGAAAGAUAUACCAAAAGUCCAUAACAAACCUUGUGGCUGUUAAAUGGCCACUUCAGUGUUUGUGGCCUCUUGAAAUUAUUUUCUCGUUUUGCAAUGACAAAAUGAUAAAGUUUGUGUCUAUCACUUCCUCUCUU